rnacentral:rRNA from 1 species
UGGGGAAUAUUGGGCAAUGGAGGAAACUCUGACCCAGCGACGCCGCGUGCGGGAUGAAGGCCUUCGGGUUGUAAACCGCUUUCAGCAGGGAAGAAGCGAAAGUGACGGUACCUGCAGAAGAAGCACCGGCUAACUAUGUGCCAGCAGCCGCGGUAAUACAUAGGGUGCAAGCGUUGUCCGGAAUUAUUGGGCGUAAAGAGCUCGUAGGUGGUUCGUCACGUCGGAUGUGAAAAUCUGGGGCUCAACCCCAGACCUGCAUUCGAUACGGGCGAUCUAGAGUGUGGUAGGGGAGACUGGAAUUCCUGGUGUAGCGGUGGAAUGCGCAGAUAUCAGGAGGAACACCAAUGGCGAAGGCAGGUCUCUGGGCCAUUACUGACACUGAGGAGCGAAAGCGUGGGGAGCGAACAGGAUUAGAUACCCUGGUAGUCCACGCCGUAAACGGUGGGCACUAGUUGUGGGAACCUUCCACGGUUUCUGCGACGCAGCUAACGCAUUAAGUGCCCCGCCUGGGGAGUACGAUCGCAAGAUUA